rnacentral:tRNA from 1 species
GCCGACGUGGCGGAAUUGGCAGACGCACGUGGUUCAGGUCCACGCGAUCGCAAGGUCGUGGGGGUUCAAGUCCCUCCGUCGGCA